UACAGAGGUCCCGAGCGUUUGUUCGGAUUCACUGGGCGUAAAGGGUGCGUAGGUGGCAUGUUAAGUUUGAUGUGAAAGCUCAGGGCUUAACCCUGAAAUGGCAUUGAAUACUAGCGUGCUGGAGGUUUGGAGGGGGGACUGGAAUUCUCGGUGUAGCAGUGAAAUGCGUAGAUAUCGAGAGGAACACCAGUGGCGAAGGCGAGUCCCUGGACAACACCUGACACUGAGGCACGAAAGCCGGGGGAGCAAACAGG
rnacentral:rRNA from 1 species